GUAGGGAAUAUUGGGCAAUGGUCGGAAGACUGACCCAGCCAUGCCGCGUGCAGGAAGACGGCCCUCUGGGUUGUAAACUGCUUUUAUCUGGGAAGAAAAAGGCCAUGCGUGGCAAAUUGCCGGUACCAGAUGAAUAAGCACCGGCUAACUCCGUGCCAGCAGCCGCGGUAAUACGGAGGGUGCGAGCGUGGUCCGGAUUUAUUGGGUUUAAAGGGUGCGUAGGCGGCUGAUUAAGUCAGCGGUGAAAGACUUCGGCUUAACCGGAGCAGUGCCGUUGAUACUGGUUGGCUUGAGUGUCGGAGGGGUACAUGGAAUUGAUGGUGUAGCGGUGAAAUGCAUAGAUACCAUCAGGAACACCGAUAGCGAAGGCAUUGUACUGGCCGACAACUGACGCUGAUGCACGAAAGUGUGGGGAUCGAACAGGAUUAGAAACCCCAGUAGUCC
rnacentral:rRNA from 1 species